CCUACGGGAGGCUGCAGUGGGGAAUAUUGGACAAUGGGCGAAAGCCUGAUCCAGCCAUGCCGCGUGUGUGAAGAAGGCCUUCGGGUUGUAAAGCACUUUCAGUGGGGAAGAAAGCCUUGGGGCUAAUACCCUCGAGGAAGGACAUCACCCACAGAAGAAGCACCGGCUAACUCCGUGCCAGCAGCCGCGGUAAUACGGAGGGUGCGGGCGUUAAUCGGAAUUACUGGGCGUAAAGCGCGCGUAGGCGGUCUGAUAAGCCGGUUGUGAAAGCCCCGGGCUCAACCUGGGAACGGCAUCCGGAACUGUCAGGCUAGAGUGCAGGAGAGGAAGGUAGAAUUCCCGGUGUAGCGGUGAAAUGCGUAGAGAUCGGGAGGAAUACCAGUGGCGAAGGCGGCCUUCUGGACUGACACUGACGCUGAGGUGCGAAAGCGUGGGUAGCAAACAGGAUUAGAUAACCCUAGUAGUC
rnacentral:rRNA from 1 species